UACGAAGGAUUCGAGCGUUAUCCGGAUUUAUUGGGCUUAAAGGGUGCGUAGGUGGACUAAUAAGUCAGUGGUGAAAGCCCGCAGCUUAACUGCGGAACUGCCAUUGAUACUGUUAGUCUUGAGUACAGUUGAGGUGGGCGGAAUGUGUCAUGUAGCGGUGAAAUGCUUAGAUAUGACACAGAACACCGAUUGCGAAGGCAGCUCACUAAGCUGUAACUGACACUGAGGCACGAAAGUGUGGGUAGCAAACAGG
rnacentral:rRNA from 1 species